rnacentral:lncRNA from 1 species
AGGAAGCGAUGACGCUGCUCAGAUAAACCCUGGCGCUCUGCGCUGGCGUCCUGGUCAGGAGCUCCUCUGCCACGGACGCGCCUGCCGUUUCUGCCUUCGUUAUCUAUUUACUGACCUCUCAUCUCCCCAGAAGAUGUUCUCAGUUCUCAGCAGUCAGUGCUUCUCCUCCAGCUUCACUGACCUUUCUAUGGGGGAGACAGCUUCCCAAGGCUGGAAAGAGGGGAGUGCGGAACAUGCCUCCACCAUACCACUGCCCACCUCCUGUGACCUCUGCAGCAAAACCUGAAGCCCCAAAGAGGCAGCUUCUCAAAGUAAAAGUGGAAUGAAGUUCCUGGUGACCUGAAUUCCCAUGGAGGAAAGAGGAAAAGGACAUUAUGCAAGGAGAUGGCAUCUCGUGUCCCUGGUGAACCAAAUUCCAUUAGGAAGACGGUGCAGUGUGAGGUGGACCUGGACCUGGAUAAAAUGGGUGUUUAACAAGUAUUUGUUGAGUAGGUGGUGGAGGAGGCACGACUAGAUGCAGGGUCUAGCUGAGUUGACAAGAGCUAACACCAGGUGUGGACCAGGACAGGGGGACCUUAAGCGAAGACACCCUGCCAGAUGUGUCUUGUUCCCUUGACUGUGGGGAGGCCCUUGGUGGUGGGGUGACGGUCCCCCAGUCUGAGGAUUUUCCCUGGAUGUAGCCUCUCAGUGCUAAAAUGGGACAGUCCCAGGCAAACCAGGUCAGUUGGUCACUCUACUCAGUGAGCCCCGUGCUGUGUUCAAAUUUUCCUCUUAACAGAUGUGGAUGGAUUUCGGAAACUUAGAAACCACCAUUUCUCUGUGCCUGGGAGGAGAGUUAAAUCUUCUCACCAGAAUCCUUUUAUGUGUGAGAGAAAUAAAUAUCUAUCCUUUUUAUAUCUCUUUUGUUUUGGAUUCUUUGUCACCAGCAGCCAAACCCAAUUCUUACAUAAACGUGAUACUAAUUAAAUUCAUUUGCAUAAACUCACCAGUUUUAUCCUUAAUUACUGUGAUAUACACUCAUGAAGUAUGUACCCUAAAAUACCACUGUAAGUUUUAUUUGAUUACAGCAUUAAACUUAAUUUACAGAAA